GACGAACGCUGGCGGCGUGCCUAAUACAUGCAAGUCGAACGAACAGACCAUGCUCUUGCUCCUUUCUCGUUUGCGGCGCACGUGUGUGUAACACGUGGAUCACCCACUUAUAAUACGGGUAUCUUCUCGGGACUCCGGCUCAAAUCCCGUAUAAUCUAUUGCACCGUAUGGUUCAAUGGUGAAAGACGGCUUUGCUGUCUCUUAUAGAUGCAUCCGCGCCGCAUUAGCUAGUUGUUGCGGUAACGGCUUACCAAGGCGACGAUGCGUAGCCGAACUGAGAGGGUGAUCGGCGACACUGGAACUGAGACACGGUCCAGACUCCUAAGGGAGGCAGCAGUAGGGAAUCUUCCGCAAUGGGCGAAAGCCUGACGGAGCAACGCCGCGUGAGUGAUGGAGGUCUUCGGAUCGUAAAACUCGGUUAUUAGGGAAAAACAAAUGUGGAAGUAACUAUGCACGUCUUGACGGUACCUAAUCAGAAAGCCACGGCUAACUACGUG
rnacentral:rRNA from 1 species